AUUAUUUAAUUUAAUGUUUGAUGUUGGUGUCUCUAGAAACUAACAUAAAGUUAAUCGAGUUUGCUAUAAGUUGAAUAUCAUUUUUCUUAAGGGAAAAUGAUUAUUUCAUCAAAAAUAAGGGAAACAAAGCCUAAUUCAAUGACAAAAAGAAGAUGUUUGCAUUCCAACAAAUCAUACCUAAAAAAAAAGACGAUGCUCUGAUGCUCAAAAGCUCGGAUUCGCUGCUUGAAUCUAAACAAGUCAGACCAAAAGACAAACACAACACAUUCCAAAACCAUUUCUCAUUCUCUCAAUCUCACUCAUUCACAUUCAGUUCAUUUUUAUUUGAGUUUGUGCUCUUGAUAUGUUCGAUUGAUGUGUUGUUGCAAUCAAGUCCGGAGGGGAAGUAAUAAUAGGAAUAGGAUCUUCAAGGAGUUCAAACCAACUUGGUGCUCCUUAAGUGUUUAAUCUAAACUGAAUUUCUGGUGAUGGAGCUUUCCUAGUUUAGCUCAGCUUGAAAAACCCAACUUCCACUUGUAGGAAGGCAAGUUGUUUGCCUACAAAGAACAAAAGCAAUUUUAAAUCUCUAAUGUAUUUACUAAUUUUAUUAACGAGAAUACACGCCCCUAAAAUAGAGCUCCCACUCUCUCGAUCCCUCCACUCGGCUAUUUAAACACAAACACAAAAUCAAAUCGCAUUUCCCUCUCUCUCUCUCUCUCUCUCUCUCACACACACACACACAUUCAGAUAUAUAUAUAUAUAUAUAUAUCUCUCUCUCUCUUUCCUCCCUCCAUCCCUCUCACUCCCCCCUCCUCUGUUUUCAAAUGUAAGUCGGUUUAUCAUCUUGAGUUUGUGUUUGAUUUUGUAAACUUGUGUUGGAUUUCAAGUUUGAGCUCCUGAUUUCGUGUUUCAUUUCUCACUUAUGUUCGAUUUCACUUGUUGCAGAUGUUGUCGUCGAUUCAAAAUCUUGCUCUUGAGGUCGUUCGUAUUGUGAAUGUCACAAUUCUAACCAAAAGCUCCGAGCUCGGCAUCGAGGACGCACGAGCUCAGAUCCUCAACUCGUCGUCAUUGGUGUCUCAAAAUUCGUCUCCACCAAUGCAAGUCUAGUUGUCUUCGUCUUCUCUGGUUAAGACGGCUGUCUCGAUCAAUUAUCUCAUGCUACACACUCAAGCUCUGUGUAGAGCAUGAGGUGAAGAAUCCUCUCAUCCUCAUUGUUUGUCUCACUUGUGUCGGAGUCGUCAGCGCGGUGACAAGCUGACUUCCGGUCCAAGGUCUCAAACUUUGAUUGCCUGGAAAGGAUAUAGCAGCAGCGGAGGCCAUCAAGGUGAACAAUGAUCAAAGUGGAAGCAACACUGAUUGAUCAGCUCAGAUCCAAGUCUAGUCUACGUACAUUAUGUUUGUAUAAUACUUCGUAUUUGUGGACUAUGCCUCAUAUAGUCCACAAUCUCAAUCGCACUAUAAUCUUUUGCUCAAGAAUCAAUAUUCUACAACACUGUCUUAUAAAACUUUAUAACAUAAUCAUCGAUAAACUUUUGGCUUUGAUUCUCAUCCAUCCAUUUUUUUCAACCCAACCCUCUCUGCAUAUAUAGUUGUAAUUUUGCUCCAGUUGGUGCUCAAAAUUCCCUUUCUUCCGUUCUAUAUAUUUUAAUCUUUUUUUUUGAAAAAAAUAUAUUCUAAUUUUAUACGAAAAGAAAACUAUCACAAACAAAGUCCCCACUCUCAUAACCAUGAUCAAGCCAAUCGCAACCGUCGUCUUUAACCUAUUGAACAUAAAUUUAGUAAUG
rnacentral:lncRNA from 1 species